CUGCUUUUUCAUUUGUUUCUCCAACUGUAAAAUGCUCCGUUUGAUUUAAUUUCUACAGACUAAUAAUAGGUUUUAUUAUGUUCUAUCUCGUUAUCGCUGAACUGUAUUUAAUUAACGUCUUCUAUUUUAAUUUUUCUGGAAAAAACAGUUGAAAUGAACUAAUAUUGGGCUGGAGGCUAUGGUGUAACGCGCUGGAACCAUGCACUGUGUUGGGCUAUUAGCAUCAUAGCGACGCCGAACAUUUACAUUAUUAUGCGGAAAAAAAUGGAACAACGGCGGGAAGCUCGUUAGAAACAAACGACCGUUGCGCGCUCGCGAUCGUGCGCGCGCAGGAGCGUCUGUUUGCUAGCUGAGAGGAAACAUGAUGCUACCGUUCCCACAAACUUUCAGGACCCAUGAAGUUCUCCAGAGAACGUUAUAAGCAAGCAGUGCGCUCGCGUGACGCUCAUUGAGGCCGGGGACGGUUUAGUUUAGAGCACGUCAGGAAUCCGCUCCAGGGCCCGUGGGUUGUGGAUUAUUCUGGUUGUUCGCGGCCUUGGGUCAAACUACCGCCGCAAGUGUGACAGACGAGACGCAAGGGAUAACGUCGCUUUCUUCACGUCAACGAGGAGCCGGUGGUGUCAGACGCCUGCAGCUGAUGGUGGGAUGCUAAUUAACGCUAGAAGGACCUCAUUGGUGCUGACGUGCUGGAGCUUCUGUUGCUCCGGUGACAUUUGCCACAGGAACAGGCUCCGUCAUUAUCUGCUGUUUGUGACUCAUCACUUCCCCGAUGACAGAACCCUGGGAGAGGAUUUCCCUCCUACAGCUGACAGCUCACAACAAGAAGGGAGCACAGCUGCUGUAUCUGACCUCACGCCAUGCAAUCACAUAUUAUAGAAAAUAUUCACCCACAAAGGUAAAUGAACAGGGCACUUGCUGGAAACACGGUGUUGCUUUAAUUUAUUCAACCUUGGACAAAAAUGACCUAAACUGCUUAUAUUAGACUUCACACUGAAACGAUCACUUCAUUUAAAUAAUUUUUCACAUUAAAGGCUUUAAUUUAAAACAUAGAAAUGCUGUAUCAACAAAAUGGAGCCGGUCUGGUCCUAAUUAGUCGGACAUGUUAUUGGAUCACGUGUACUUUCCUAAAUUACCUUUGUGAGCACUAAGUGAACGGUGGGAUUAAAUCUUCAUAAAAUGGGAUAAGAUUAAAUUUAUUUGUCUCUGUGGGGAAACUGGGUCAGUGCAGCAGAAAUGAUGUAGAUUAUCACAAUAUGUUGUAAAAAUGUUCUGAUCCGCUAAAGCAAGAGGAUUGAAUCAUUCAGAUAGAGACCUGCUGACACAAAUGGGCUGGAAGGUCAUUCUGGGUCUGGUCAUUCCCAUCACAACAAGUCAUUUACUCACUAAUUACAUCCCAGCGAAUGAACCCUGCUGACUUUUAGUGCAGCAUCACCAUCAAGUGAAAAUAUUGAUCGGAGCAGUUCACUGGUUCAUGACCAGACAGUGGAGACGCUUCCUGCAGGUCCUCGUCCAUGUGUAAACGUGCUAAUGAUCUGUUAACGGCUCACUAACAGACUUUUCACAUGCUUUGAGUGUUUCUCAGCCGACACAGGAAUAAAUGUUGGAAUCACAGCUGCUGCAGCUCAAAACAUAAAUAGAAGCUCCUGUCUUAUGGGUGCAUGAGUCUGUCUGUGCUGGUCAAAGCCAAAGGCCUAGUGAUCACAGUCUGAGCCCGACAUUCAAAUGCAACGUUUUUCUUCCUUUGUCUCGUUUAAUCUUAAUCAACAUAAAACUGCCUGUCAUUAAUCCUCUUUUUCUUCACUCACUCAGAUCAAUGUUUCCUUUUCCAGAGCAAAGAUAGUAAUUAAUCCCCAGACCAACAGAGCCUUCAGGCGUGACUAUUUGUCAAAGACCCUAAUCAAUGCUUUUGCCUAUUCCUCUACUUUCAGAAAAUGAGAAACAAUUUUUUUGGGGGGGAUCAUGUCUCACAUUCCAUCGGGCGGAAUCAAUGGAUCUUAUAUGAGGCAAAUAAUUAAUGCUGGAGCACAGUCCCGCAAGAAAAUCUGAAGCGUUGUGGAACCGUCUUUUUAAAGCUUCGACCCCGGAGCUCAUGAGAACGUGUUUGGAAGCGCUUUGAAUUGAUGCGCUCCUAUUGUGCCUUUUAGAAGAUUUCAGCCUUUUCACUUCAUUGCUCCCUCAUUGACUCACCAUUAAUGACAUUUCUGAAGAAAGAUGAAUAAUUGAUGUUAUUACUGAUGAAACUUAUCUGGAAGGAGUGAAACUUGGAGGCGCCGAGCGGAGCUAAAGACCGGCCUGGACACAACAGAUAGGAAAAGGACCGAGAGGCCACUGCCUAUUUAUCAAGAGAAGCACGGAGGAGGGGGCAAGUUGUCCAAACAGGGUGAUAAAUGACUUGAGGGACAGGAGGCCUCGCAGGGAAACAGGCUGCUGAGAGGUGACAGCUCUGGUCGCGGCGGGAGGUGAGACGAGCGUCUGAAGGAGCAGGAGAUCGCAGCCCAAGUGCAAGUUCGCACCUCCAGACCUGGAAGGGCUGUUAUCACCGCGGAGGUGAGGGCAGCGUGAGACACGGGUCCGGGUCGGCGCGGCGGCGGCGGCUCAGGCUGACGACAUGGAGUCUUUGCUUCCCUGUGGUUCAACGACAGACCCUGAGAUGAAACACCAGCUUCCCUCGAGUGUCUGCAGACACAGCUGGCUCCUGACAGAGUGAUCAGAUUGGAUUUAGUGCUGGAAAACCUGCAUCGGACAGACUUUCCAAUUGUUUCGCCGCCGACUUGACGCCCCUGAGUCGUGUCUGCUGGACGGGAAAGCACCGAGGGGAACGGGAUCGUAUCUCAGACGUGAUCUGGUUCCUCUGGGCCGUUGUCUGGGCUCAUGUCGCUUUCACUCGUGGCGCCCUGGGCCCCAGCAUCCGAGAUGAGUGGAGGCGCAUUCACUGAUGAUGUAUUGAGCUAAAUUUGGCUGCAAGACGAAGGCAAUGAGCUGCUUCUCUGACCAGACGGACGACGGCUGAGCCUCAGCUCUGACCAUUAACCACCAAAUCAGCGCUGCAGACAAAGCAGAUGAAAGCAUCUGUGUCUGAAGCCAAAACGGAGCGGCUUCAUCUUCAUCAAAUAAGGGAGGAAGAGCCGCCCAGCGUCUGUUAUGAAUGCAUGGAGCCACUUCUCACCCACUGGAGGUAAAGCUGCUGCCUUUAUUCCAUUCAUUUUCUUUUAAAUCAGCAGCUGCACUUGCUUAUCUGACAUUUGCGAUUCAGGAGCACUUUGACCUGAAGAGUCUGAGACAAACACUUUCUUUUAACUUCCUGCAGUGGGAGUUUUAUUCAGCAGGUUGUUUUGCAGAGAGGGAGCGGAGCUCGGGGGAAACGCGAGGGAGCUCUGCUGUUAUUUACCUCUCAGCCACGUUGGCCGACGUCCAGCGCUGCUCCGGAGCUUGGUUUCAGUCCACAAGGUCAAACGUUGCUUGUGAAAAAUGGAAAGUGGAAGUUCACGUUGGCCCAUUAGCAACAAAUGUUAAUUUCGUGGCUGACGUGAAUGUUGGUGCGUCGGCUCAGAUGAGGCGCGGCUCAUUUUGCGUAACUGAGGAAGCUGAAACAGGAAAUUGGAGGCAGGAGCGGAGAGAGAGCUGCUGGUCGGCUGCCAAACGGAUGCGUUUGGUCUCAUCCGUGAGCUGCUCCUCACACUCCCUCACAUGAAAUGACCACUGGCAGCGCUCACGCAGGAUGUCUUUUGUGAAACAGUAACACUGUUGCUGGAUAAACUGAAGAAGCUGCAGCUCCACCCCCCGCAGCCUCUCCUCCUGGUUCAUUUCCUCCACGCCUGCAGGGCCGGCCGCUGGGGGGAUUUGACAGAGGACUUCUGACAAUCCUGAGGAGAGCUGACACCGAGAGCGCCAGUCUCCCCAUCGCUCGCGGCCAGAUUGGAAGAUGCUCAGCGUGCAGAGAGAGCAGAUGAGACAGAGCAGAGGAGCCGGGAGCGCUGUUUGUACAGAGCUGGCUGAGCCUGACGUGUCUGAGAGGACGAUGAGCACACGCUGCCGCACGGACGCCGCACGCGGCCAAACGGGGCUCGGACGCUCACUCCUUUAAAUGCAGCUGUACAGGAACCUUUAAUCUAAUAUCAAAGGUGAUAAGAGCUCAGUGAGGGUGUAAGUUAACUUUUAAUGGCGCCCAUUUGGGAUGCGGCACCAACUGGCAGCCUGCAGCGCCCAUAUUUUACCCGCGUCUCUGUGACCUUUCGCAGCAGAAUUUACAUUCAGAUUUAAAUAAUAGGCAGGUUCCCAGUUUCAAAGUGAAACACGAGGCCAGAUCCGCGGCCGACCCUCCACCGCCCGCGAUCCUGACACCUUCAACGGGCGCCGCACGCGCCGCCAUUUGCCCCCAUCAGUGUCAAACGACAGCAACACGAGAGACGAGAGGCGGACGAGCUCCAACAACAGCUUGAGGAGACGUGAGGGUCUCUGGGCGGAAGCAGCAAAACGUGUCACUCACGGCGCCGGAGCCUGAUGAAUUUUUACUGCUGUGUUGAAGCUUGACACAUCACAAUCUACAUGUAAUAGGAGGCGCUGUUCUGAUUCGCACACAGCAGAACCCUGACAAUUACUCAAAGGAGUGUUUUUCCGUGUCACAAAGUUCCAUUCACCACUGAAGCGUCAGUGCGUGUCAGCAGAAGUGCAUCAGAGGAAGAAUAAAGGAGGCCUUGAAGUGUCGCACGGCCACGGAGCUGCAGCCGUUACAGUGAAGCCAAGGACGACUUCAUCAGGAACCCAGCGCAGCCUCCAACACUCACGAGCCAUAAACUGGGACGAGCCAUAAACCGCGCUGGGAAAUGAGAGCGUGGGUCUGGACAGAACGGCAGCAGAACCGGGCCCUGCUGGGCCAGAGAGAACACAAGGAGCUGGACAGAACAGGCAGCAGAACCGGGCUCUAAACCACAUGGAGCUGGACAGAACAGGCAGCAGAACCCGGCCCCAGAGAACACAAGGAGCUAAAUCCAUGUUUCUGUGUGUGUGUGAGCUGAUUUAAUGAUCAGGAGGACGAGCACCUUAACAGGAGCUGAACACGAGGAAACAAUUACAACAACUGGAAUUAGAGAAUGUUUAUUAGAAUAAUCUGAUUUGUGCCGUCGCUUCUAUAGAAUUUCAUUGGAGUUAAUCUGCUCCCAUUUCCCCCAUGGGGCUUCCUGCUGCAAGCCCCACUCUGGGAGCCACAGCUCUACCUGUUCUCCAGCACUCCCCUCUCAUCCCAGCUAAUCAGCCAGACUCAAUUAUUCAUAUUCUAACCUGAUUAAGGGCUGAGGAUGUUUCACUUUCAGAGCCGUUAGUGUUGGUAACGGCCCCCGUGAGGUCAUGAAGACGUCGCUGCCUUUCUCCGCUCUGAUGCUAUAUGUUCACACGUGGCUGCCAAGGUGAGGCAGCUGGAAACCCCGCCAAAUAAUGAUGUGUGGGUGGGAGGAUGUGUCCGGGGCAGCCCUGGACACUGCACUGCAACUAACGGUGGUCAUGUUCAGCCUCUGAUUAAUUAAACAUCCCUCGGGGUCACGGAGUCACGGAAGGCAUUGUAAUUUAUCAUGUGGCUCACGCGUAAUGGAGUGUGGCCUGCUGCACAGUCUCUCAUUAAGAGUGAUAAACUCAGCCGCUGCAUCCAAGGCCUCGCCGCCGUUUAUGUCCAGAGGAGACACAGCACAGGAGCCGCUGCUGUUUGCUGCUGUUUUGCUGAGCAAAUACAAUCAGAAGCAGCUGUUUUCACCUUGAACUGAAGGAAACAAUAACGACCUUCCAUCGCUUUAACCGUGUACGAUAAAGUAAAUGUGUGUUGGGUCAUUUUCUGCCCCGAGUGAGUAAUCAUAUCCCAGGAACAUUAGACAUUCUCCAUUUUUGUGUCUAGUCAUGAAUUUAUUUGAGUUCACAUAAUAUUUAAAUUCAACAUGGGGCAAUAACAGCUAAACAACCAGUGAGUGACUCAAAAAAGCUGCACAUCAUAAACUCAGAACAACUGACAAAUGCGAUGAACCUGUGCAGAGCUGCUGAUUGGUCACAUGAUGCCAAUACGCAUCAUGUGUGUAUUGCACCUUCUCUGGCUAAUGCAACUGAGGAGAAAUCCCCCCGUAUCAAAAGGCCUCAUGCAACCGAGUAGCAACAUGCCAACGUGACUUUGACUGCUUUGAA